GACGAACGCUGGCGGCGUGCUUAACACAUGCAAGUCGAACGGAAAGGCCCUGCUUUUGUGGGGUGCUCGAGUGGCGAACGGGUGAGUAACACGUGAGUAACCUGCCCUUGACUUUGGGAUAACUUCAGGAAACUGGGGCUAAUACCGGAUAGGAGCUCCUGCUGCAUGGUGGGGGUUGGAAAGUUUCGGCGGUUGGGGAUGGACUCGCGGCUUAUCAGCUUGUUGGUGGGGUAGUGGCUUACCAAGGCUUUGACGGGUAGCCGGCCUGGGAGGGUGACCGGCCACAUUGGGACUGAGAUACGGCCCAGACUCCUACGGGAGGCAGCGGUGGGGAAUAUUGCACAAUGGGCGGAAGCCUGAUGCAGCAACGCCGCGUGCGGGAUGACAGCCUUCGGGUUGUAAACCGCUUUCGCCUGUGACGAAGCGUGAGUGACGGUAAUGGGUAAAGAAGCACCGGCUAACUACGUG
rnacentral:rRNA from 1 species